CUUCAACAUAAAGAGUUGACAGCAGAACGGCAGCCAUUUCUCUCUCUUUGUCAUGCCUAUCCAUGGCCAUGGACACCAACUUCUUCACAAAAUAGUAAUGAGUUUGUAAGAGAAACUGGGAGAGAAUGAUGCAUGGUUUACAUUUGGUUAAGGGAAGUUGAGAACAAAGGAAAAGUUGGUUGGAGAGAGUCAGAGAGACUCACGGAUGUGGACCGGUUCAUGAUGUGUUAAUCCUGGCAUUUAGGGGGAACACUUCAAACUUAUAUUUUAAUUUAAGUCUUUUGUAUUAAUUUAUAUUUGGUUUUUUUUUUCUCUAUUGCUCUGUAAAUUAUAAGUUAUUAAUAUUGUUCAAAUGGCCAUAAGACUAUUAUAUCAAUGGCCAAAUCAGCACAUGAGUUGAUGACUA